ACUACGGAGAGUUUGAUCCUGGCUCAGGACGAACGCUGGCGGCGAGCUUAACACAUGCAAGUCGAACGCGAACGCUCCUUCGGGAGCAAGUAGAG
rnacentral:rRNA from 1 species